CUUCCCUAGGGCAGACUUGCUGCUGAGGCUCUGACUACCUUAGCCCAGGAGGGAGGAAGGCCGACUCAGGGUGUCUGUCUUUAUGGGGAACGGUCAGCUCUGACCAGACCACGCCUCUUGGCCUCUGUGUCCAGAUUAGGAACUUGCAACAUCUUGCCAACGACCACACUGGGCUCAGCUGGAAAGAGUACAGCCGAGAACUUCCUGAACAUUCCAUGAGGUGAGGAGAAGAGCAUCUUCAACUGGCCGAAGAGCAUCUUCAGCCUCUUUCUGCCGGCAGGUGGCACAGCUUACCCCGCAGGGCUUCUGGUUUUGUCAUUUGGGGAUUACGCCCACUUCUGCAGCAGCUACCACCGAAGGCGGACUUCAGUAGACUUCGAAAAACUUAUUUCAUUUGAGGCUCUAUGCCUUAUGCCUUGUGAAAUAUAACCAGGCCUGGAGACACACACUUUUAACAAUAAUAGGCUGCAAUGCCCAUAGCAACAGCGGUCAGUCUGACUGCUACCACAGCACCGGUCAUGGCUCAGCUCCAUUUUGUUCUCAUCCCACUCCAGAGCCCAUAGCACACACUGUACCGGAAAGCAACAUGGACAUAGCCCAGCACUGGGCCUUCCUGUGUCCUCUCUAAGAAGCAUUUGUGAGGGCUGGGGGGAAGGGGGCACUCCUGGGAUAGCUCCUGUUACCAAGCCCCAUGACCUGAGUUUGAUUCCAGGGACCUACAAUGGUAGAAGGAGAGCUCACUCCCACAGGUUGUCCUCUGAGCCCCAAAGGCACUGCAUGGUGAGGGAGCACCCCCCCUAAACUAAACAAACAGUGCAAUAAAAAAAAUUAAAAAGCA